rnacentral:rRNA from 1 species
CGCGAGUGACAGCUACUGAAUCACCUGUGUGUCACAGGUGAUGUCGUAAGGGAAAAUAAUGAUAUCACCUUACUAAUAGUGUCGUCCAAAACUGGUGCCAGAAGACUCGGUAAGACCAGAGACGCAAACGUUAAUCAUCAUAAUCAGGCGUAAAGGGUUUGUAGGCCGCUUUGAAACGAUUGUUAUUGGCUAAAACAAUUUUAUUAGGAGCUAGAAUCUAAUAGAGGUUAUAAUUUGAGUAAUUCUUAGAGGAGGGAUGAUAUCUAUAGAUACUAAGAGGAAGGCUCAGGGCGAAAGCAUCUUUCCACUAAAGAUUGACGCUGAGAAACGAAAGUUGGGAUAGGAAAUAGGAUUAGAUACCCCGGUACUCCCUUCUGCUAACGAUGAAUGGUAGUCAUUAGGUAUUAGUGGCGAAGUUAACACGAUAACCAUUUCCGGCCCUUGUAAGUACGACUGGCAAAGGUUGAAAACAAAAAAAAUAAAAGUCGGUCUCCGAAAAGCAAACGAAGGUUGAAGCAUGUUAUUUAGACAAAAAAUAACCCC